AUUCCAGCUCCAAUAGCGUACAUUUAAGUUGUUGCAGUUAAAAAGCUCGUAGUUGGAUUUCGGAUGGGUUUGACCGGUCCGCCUUUGGUGUGCACUGGUCGCGCCUAUCUUGCUGUCGGGGACGCGCUCCUGGCCUUAAUUGGCAGGGACGCGGAGUCGGCGAUGUUACUUUGAAAAAAUUAGAGUGUUCAAAGCAGGCCUAAGCUCUGAAUACAUUAGCAUGGAAUAACGCUAUAGGACUCUGGUCUUAUUGCGUUGGUCUUCGAGACCGGAGUAAUGAUUAAGAGGGACAGUUGGGGGCAUUCGUAUUUCAUUGUCAGAGGUGAAAUUCUUGGAUUUAUGAAAGACGAACUUCUGCGAAAGCAUUUGCCAAGGAUGUUUUCAUUA
rnacentral:rRNA from 1 species